AGCGAACGCUGGCGGCAGGCCUAACACAUGCAAGUCGAACGAACCUUUCGGGGUUAGUGGCGGACGGGUGAGUAACACGUGGGAACGUGCCCUUAGGUUCGGAAUAACUCAGGGAAACUUGUGCUAAUACCGAAUGUGCCCUUCGGGGGAAAGAUUAAUCGCCUUUAGAGCGGCCCGUGUCUGAUUAGCUAGUUGGUUGAGGUAAUGGCUCACCAAAGCGACGAUCAGUAGCUGGUCUGAGAGGAUGAUCAGCCACAUUGGGACUGAGACACGGCCCAAAAUCCUACGGGAGGCAGCAGUGGGGAAUCUUGCGCAAUGGGGGAAAGCCUGACGCAGCCAUGCCGGGUGAAUGAUGAAGGUCUUAGGAUAGUAAAAUUCUUUCACCGGGGACGAUAAUGACGGUACCCGGAGAAGAAGCCCCGGCUAACUUCGUG
rnacentral:rRNA from 1 species